UACGGAGGGUGCAAGCGUUAUCCGGAUUUACUGGGUUUAAAGGGUGCGUAGGUGGUUCUGUAAGUCAGUGGUGAAAUCUCCGAGCUUAACUCGGAAACUGCCAUUGAUACUAUAGGUCUUGAAUUAUCUGGAGGUAAGCGGAAUAUGUCAUGUAGCGGUGAAAUGCUUAGAUAUGACAUAGAACACCAAUUGCGAAGGCAGCUUACUACGGAUUGAUUGACACUGAGGCACGAAAGCGUGGGGAUCAAACAGG
rnacentral:rRNA from 1 species